GAAGAUAUGGGCAGCUGACUCCUGCUGAUCACCCCAGAUGAAUGAGUCAAGCCUUACUUAAAAAAACCAGUGUGUCAUGGUGUGGGGAGGAAAAAUGGAGAUUGCAGCAGGCUUUAUGGCUUUCCACACAUCUAUUAUUAGUUUGAUCUGUCUGUUAAUAAAGCCACCAUCCAGGCCCAUGAGCCAUCCAAUGGAGGAGCUGAUUCUCCUGCUUCAGAAUGGAACUCUCAGCCUGUGUGAUCUGUGGGUAUGAGCCAUACCCAAAUGUCUUCUCAGCUGUACAUUUCAUGCUGAAGGCAGGGGAAGCCAUGUGCUGUGCUGUGGUACCUUCUGAGUCAUUAUCAGUAUAUGAUGUAACCUUGGAAGAAGGACAAGAUCAGACUCUCCUUGGCAUGGUGGGUAACAUAAUCAGAUGAUAUAUGAUGCAUCGGGUGGGAUUACUGUGAUCAAAUAAGCAU